rnacentral:rRNA from 1 species
GCAUAAUCGCCUGCCCUUUAAUUGGGGGCCUGAAUGAAUGGACCCACGCGGGCACCCCUGUCUCAUUAAGACCAAUAGAAAUUAUCCUUCAGGUGAAAAGACCUGAAUAAAAUAGUAAGACAAAAAGACCCUACAGAGCUUAAUCCAACGACCUACUAAAUAUACUACAAGCUAGAUUGCCCCCAAAUAAGUCCUAGAAUUGGUUGGGGCGACAAAGGACCCCCCAAAACGUCCUUCCUUAGACCGACCCCACGUCCCCAAACGACUCAUUAGACUACUUGUUUAAGAGACACUAGCUACCUUAGGGGUAACAGACUAAUAUCCCCCCGAGAGCCCAUAUUGACGGGGGAGCUUGGCACCUCGAUGUUGGCUUAGGGACCCCAGUUUGGUGCAGAAGCUAUACUGGGUGGUUUGUUCAACCAAUAACCCCCU